UACGAAGGGGGCUAGCGUUGUCCGGAAUCAUUGGGCGUAAAGCGCGUGUAGGCGGCUUGGCAAGUCAGUUGUGAAAGCCCGGGGCCCAACCCCGGAACUGCAUCUGAAACUGCCUAGCUAGAGUCCCGGAGAGGAAGGCAGAAUUCCCGGUGUAGGGGUGAAAUCCGUAGAUAUCGGGAGGAAUACCAGCGGCGAAGGCGGCCUUCUGGACGGUGACUGACGCUGAGACGCGAAAGCGUGGGGAGCAAACAGG
rnacentral:rRNA from 1 species